CCUACGGGAGGCAGCAGUGGGGAAUAUUGCACAAUGGGGGGAACCCUGAUGCAGCGACGCCGCGUGAGUGAAGAAGUAUUUCGGUAUGUAAAGCUCUAUCAGCCGGGAAGAAAAUGACGGUACCUGACUAAGAAGCCCCGGCUAACUACGUGACAGAAGCCGCGGUAAUACGUAGGGGGCAAGCGUUAUCCGGAUUUACUGGGUGUAAAGGGAGCGCAGACGGCUGUGCAAGUCUGGAGUGAAAGGCGGGGGCCCAACCCCCGGACUGCUCUGGAAACUGUAAAGCUGGAGUGCAGGAGAGGUAAGCCGAAUUCCGAGUGUAGCGGUGAAAGGCGUAGAUAUUAGGAGGAACACCAGUGGCGAAGGCGGCUUACUGGACUGCAACUGACGUUGAGGCUCGAAAGCGUGGGGAGCAAACAGGAUUAGAUACCCCUGUAGUC
rnacentral:rRNA from 1 species